CUAGCGAGACUGCCAGUGAUAACUGGAGGAAGUGGGGAUGGCGUCAAAUCAUCAUGCCCCUUAUGACCUGGGCUACAAACGUGAUACAAUGGCUGGAACAAAGGGAUGCGAAGCAGUGAUGUGGAGCGAAACCCAUAAAAACAGUCUCAGUUCGGAUUGAAGUCUGCAACUCGACUUCAUGAAGUCGGAAUCGCUAGUAAUCGCGGAUCAGAACGCCGCGGUGAAUACGUUCUCGGGGUUU
rnacentral:rRNA from 1 species